rnacentral:antisense_RNA from 1 species
GGCUUAAGAUUUUUGCGCGCAUGACACCCUCCGCUUUUGCUUUUUAAGCUUUUUGGUUUUUAAGAUAAAGGGUAAUUGUAGUGAAUUAAACUUAAAAUAUAGAAUCUACGUUAUGGUGGUCACGACUGGACUUGAACCAGCGACCCCUACCA